AAUUCAAUAAUCUAAUUGUGUUUCAGGCAAUGGUAUACGCAUGGGCUGUUUGGGUGGAGAAUGGGAAGCAGAUGGAAGGAGUUUUGCCAUUGAACUGGAUCGACACAGAGACCAAAGUGUUGCGAUGAACUCUAAAAAACGUGUCUGUGGCACAUAAGCGCCUUUUACAACCACAAGAGGACUGGUUAAGCUUUGAAUUUGUUAAAGUCAAAGUGAAAUCAGUAAGCCGACAGGAGUGUGAAAAAUAUAAUUACACCUCAGCUCAAACCGAAGAGGAGGACACAGUCAGUCAAAAGAGAAUGAAGAAAAGAAGGAAAUUUGAAGAUUAAGUUCAAGGGUCAGAUUUGUCUCCUGAGGAGGAUGAGUCCUUGCCAGACAAGAAAAAGGG